AGAGUUUGAUCCUGGCUCAGGACGAACGCUGGCGGCGUGCUUAACACAUGCAAGUCGAACGGUGAAGUCCCUUCGGGGGCGGAUCAGUGGCGAACGGGUGAGUAACACGUGGGCAAUCUGCCCCUCACUGUGGGAUAACUCCGGGAAACCGGGGCUAAUACCGCAUAUGAAGCCUGGCGGCAUCGCCGGGUUUGGAAAGUUUUUCGGUGAGGGAUGAGCCCGCGGCCUAUCAGCUUGUUGGUGAGGUAAUGGCUCACCAAGGCGACGACGGGUAGCCGGCCUGAGAGGGCGACCGGCCACACUGGGACUGAGACACGGCCCAGACUCCUACGGGAGGCAGCAGUGGGGAAUAUUGGGCAAUGGGCGAAAGCCUGACCCAGCGACGCCGCGUGCGGGAUGAAGGCCUUCGGGUUGUAAACCGCUUUCAGCAGGGAAGAAGCGAAA
rnacentral:rRNA from 1 species